UACGUAGGGUGCGAGCGUUGUCCGGAAUUAUUGGGCGUAAAGAGCUCGUAGGCGGUGUGUCACGUCGAUCGUGAAAACUUACAGCUUAACUGUGAGCGUGCGGUCGAUACGGGCAUCACUGGAGUUCGGCAGGGGAGACUGGAAUUCCUGGUGUAGCGGUGAAAUGCGCAGAUAUCAGGAGGAACACCGGUGGCGAAGGCGGGUCUCUGGGACGGUACUGACGCUGAGACGCGAAAGCGUGGGGAGCGAACAGG
rnacentral:rRNA from 1 species